rnacentral:rRNA from 1 species
AGAGUUUGAUCCUGGCUCAGGAUGAACGCUGGCGGCGUGCCUAAUACAUGCAAGUCGAACGCGGGCAGCAAUGCCCGAGUGGCGAACGGGUGAGUAAUACAUAAGUAACCUGCCCUUUACAGGGGGAUAACUAUUGGAAACGAUAGCUAAGACCGCAUAGGUAAAGAUACCGCAUGGUAAGUUUAUUAAAAGUGCCAAGGCACUGGUAGAGGAUGGACUUAUGGCGCAUUAGCUAGUUGGUGAGGUAACGGCUCACCAAGGCGACGAUGCGUAGCCGACCUGAGAGGGUGACCGGCCACACUGGGACUGAGACACGGCCCAGACUCCUACGGGAGGCAGCAGUAGGGAAUUUUCGGCAAUGGGGGGAACCCUGACCGAGCAACGCCGCGUGAAGGAGGAAGGUCUUCGGACUGUAAACUUCUGUUAUAAAGGAAGAAAGGCGGAUACAGGGAAUGGUAUCCGAGUGACGGUACUUUAUGAGGAAGCCACGGCUAACUACGUGCCAGCAGCCGCGGU